rnacentral:rRNA from 1 species
CAGCAGCCGCGGGAACACGGAGGAUCCAAGCGUUAUCCGGAAUCAUUGGGUUUAAAGGGUCCGUAGGCGGUCUUGUAAGUCAGUGGUGAAAGCCCAUCGCUCAACGGUGGAACGGCCAUUGAUACUGCAGGACUUGAAUUAUUGGGAAGUAACUAGAAUAUGUAGUGUAGCGGUGAAAUGCUUAGAGAUUACAUGGAAUACCAAUUGCGAAGGCAGGUUACUACCAAUUGAUUGACGCUGAUGGACGAAAGCGUGGGUAGCGAACAGGAUUAGAUACCCCCGUAGUCCCUGUCUCUUAUAC